GCCAGUGUGGCAUAGUGGUUGGAGUGUUGGACUACAACUCUGGAGACCAGGGUUCGAUCCCCAGCCCGGCCA